AUUGAACGCUGGCGGCAGGCCUAACACAUGCAAGUCGAGCGGAUGAAGGGAGCUUGCUCCUGGAUUCAGCGGCGGACGGGUGAGUAAUGCCUAGGAAUCUGCCUGGCAGUGGGGGCUAACGUCCGGAAACGGGCGCUAAUACCGCAUACGUCCUGAGGGAGAAAGUGGGGGAUCUUCGGACCUCCCGCUAUCAGAUGAGCCUAUGUCGGAUUAGCUAGUUGGUGGGGUAAAGGCCUACCAAGGCGACGAUCCGUAGCUGGUCUGAGAGGAUGAUCAGCCACACUGGAACUGAGACACGGUCCAGACUCCUACGGGAGGCAGCAGUGGGGAAUAUUGGACAAUGGGCGAAAGCCUGAUCCAGCCAUGCCGCGUGUGUGAAGAAGGUCUUCGGAUUGUAAAGCACUUUAAGUUGGGAGGAAAGGCAGUAAGUUAAUACCUUGCUGUUUUGACGUUACCAACAGAAUAAGCACCGGCUAACUUCGUG
rnacentral:rRNA from 1 species